rnacentral:rRNA from 1 species
ACGAACGCUGGCGGCGUGCCUAACACAUGCAAGUCGAACGAGGGCCCGGUUUCGGCCGGGUUCCUAGUGGCGGACGGGUGAGUAACGCGUGGGAACCUGCCCAACAGUGGGGAAUAACAGCGGGAAACCGCUGCUAAUACCGCAUACGUCCUUCGGGAGAAAGGCUUCGGCCGCUGUUGGAGGGGCCCGCGUCGGAUUAGCUAGUUGGUGGGGUAAUGGCCUACCAAGGCGACGAUCCGUAGCUGGUCUGAGAGGACGACCAGCCACACUGGGACUGAGACACGGCCCAGACUCCUACGGGAGGCAGCAGUGGGGAAUAUUGGACAAUGGGGGAAACCCUGAUCCAGCGACGCCGCGUGAGUGAAGAAGGCCUUAGGGUUGUAAAGCUCUUUCGCCGGGGAAGAUGAUGACGGUACCCGGAGAAGAAGCCCCGGCUAACUCCGU